rnacentral:rRNA from 1 species
CCACUGAUAAUUAUAUUUAAGGGCCGCAGUAUUCUGACUGUGCAAAGGUAGCAUAAUCAUUAGGUUUUUAAUUGGAAUCUUGUAUGAAUGAUUGGACAAGAGAAAUACUGUCUUUGUAUUAAAACUUGAAUUUAACUUUUAAGUGAAAAGGCUUAAAUACACUAAAGGGACGAUAAGACCCUAUAAAACUUUACAUUUAUGUUAAAUUUUAUGGAAUUUGAAGAUUAUAAUUAUUAAAUUUAAUUUUUUGUUAUGUUGGGGAGACAAAUGCUAUAAUUAUAUAUAUAACUGCUUUUAAGGGAAACAAAAAUAAGUGAGGAAGGUUAGAGAUCCUUUAUUGAGAUUAUAAGAUUAAGUUACUUUAGGGAUAACAGCGUUAUUUUUUUUGAGAGUUCAUAUUGAAAAAAAAGAUUGCGACCUCGAUGUUGAAUUAAAAUAUCUUUAUAAUGCAGGUGUUAUAAAAGAAGGUCUGUUCGACCUUUAAUUUUUUACGUGAUCUGAGUUCAGACCGG